rnacentral:rRNA from 1 species
UACGUAGGGGGCAAGCGUUGUCCGGAAUUAUUGGGCGUAAAGAGUACGUAGGUGGUUCGAUAAGCGUAAGGUGAAAGGCAUAGACUAAACCAAUGUUAGCCUUACGAACUGUCGAACUUGAGUGCAGGAGGGGAAAGUGGAAUUCCUAGUGUAGCGGUGAAAUGCGUAGAUAUUAGGAGGAACACCAGUGGCGAAGGCGACUUUCUGGACUGUAACUGACACUGAGGUACGAAAGCGUGGGGAGCAAACAGG